rnacentral:rRNA from 1 species
UACGUAGGGUCCGAGCGUUGUCCGGAAUUACUGGGCGUAAAGAGCUCGUAGGUGGUUUGUCGCGUUGUUCGUGAAAACUCACAGCUUAACUGUGGGCGUGCGGGCGAUACGGGCAGACUAGAGUACUGCAGGGGAGACUGGAAUUCCUGGUGUAGCGGUGGAAUGCGCAGAUAUCAGGAGGGAACACCCGGGUGGCGAAGGC